rnacentral:rRNA from 1 species
AUUGAACGCUGGCGGCAGGCCUAACACAUGCAAGUCGAACGAGUGGCGGACGGGUGUGUAAUGUCUGGGAAACUGCCAGAUGGGGGGGGAUAACUACUGGAAGCGGUAGCUAAUACCGCAUACCCUCAGAUGUGCCCAGAUGGGAUUAGCUAGUUGGUGGGGUAACGGCUCACCAAGGCGACGAUCCCUAGCUGGUCUGAGAGGAUGACCAGCCACACUGGAACUGAGACACGGUCCAGACUCCUACGUGAGUUAGCAGUGGGGAAUAUUGCACAAUGGGCGCAAGCCUGAUGCAGCCAUGCGGCGGGUAUGAAGAAGGCCUUCGGGUUGUAAAGUACUUUCAGCGGGGAGGCGUUACCCGCAGAAGAAGCACCGGCUAACUCCGUGCCAGCAGCCGCGGUAAUAC